rnacentral:rRNA from 1 species
UCCUGUCUGAAUAUGGGGGGACCAUCCUCCAAGGCUAAAUACUCCUGACUGACCGAUAGUGAACCAGUACCGUGAGGGAAAGGCGAAAAGAACCCCGGCGAGGGGAGUGAAAAAGAACCUGAAACCGUGUACGUACAAGCAGUGGGAGCACAGGUUUACCUGUGUGACUGCGUACCUUUUGUAUAAUGGGUCAGCGACUUAUAUUCUGUAGCAAGGUUAACCGAAUAGGGGAGCCGCAGGGAAACCGAGUCUUAACCGGGCGUUAAGUUGCAGGGUAUAGACCCGAAACCCGGUGAUCUAGCCAUGGGCAGGUUGAAGGUUGGGUAACACUAACUGGAGGACCGAACCGACUAAUGUUGAAAAAUUAGCGGAUGACCUGUGGCUGGGGGUGAAAGGCCAAUCAAACCGGGAGAUAGCUGGUUCUCCCCGAAAGCUAUUUAGGUAGCGCCUCGUGAACUCAUCUCCGGGGGUAGAGCACUGUUUCGGCUAGGGGGUCAUCCCGACUUACCAACCCGAUGCAAACUGCGAAUACCGGAGAAUGUUAUCACGGGAGACACACGGCGGGUGCUAACGUCCGUCGUGAAGAGGGAAACAACCCAGACCGCCAGCUAAGGUCCCAAAGUCAUGGUUAAGUGGGAAACGAUGUGGGAAGGCCCAGACAGCCAGGAUGUUGGCUUAGAAGCAGCCAUCAUUUAAAGAAAGCGUAAUAGCUCACUGGUCGAGUCGGCCUGCGCGGAAGAUGUAACGGGGCUAAACCAUGCACCGAAGCUGCGGCAGCGAC